CUGGUGGGUUCAAUCUGAUGUACUGUCAGGGUUCUACACAGGUGGGCUUGUCCAGUACAUAUACUGGUGGGUUCAAUCUGAUGUACUGUCAGGGUUCUACACAGGUGGGCGUGUCCAGUACAUACACUGGUGGGUUCAAUCUGAUGUACUGUCAGGGUUCUACACAGGUCCCAGGGGUACCGAGGUGGGCGUGUC